rnacentral:ncRNA from 1 species
AUUAUUAAAGAAUUUCGGUUGUCGAUGGGGAUGCGUUCCAUUAGGCAGUUGGCGGGGUAACGGCCCACCAAACCAACGAUGGAUAGGGGUUCUGAGAGGAAGGUCCCCCACAUUGGAACUGAGACACGGUCCAAACUCCUACGGGAGGCAGCAGUGAGGAAUAUUGGUCAAUGGACGAGAGUCUGAACCAGCCAAGUAGCGUGAAGGAUGACUGCCCUAUGGGUUGUAAACUUCUUUUAUACGGGAAUAAAGUUAGCCACGUGUGGCUUUUUGUAUGUACCGUAUGAAUAAGGAUCGGCUAACUCCGUGCCAGCAGCCGCGGUAAUACGGAGGAUCCGAGCGUUAUCCGGAUUUAUUGGGUUUAAAGGGAGCGUAGGCGGGUUGUUAAGUCAGUUGUGAAAGUUUGCGGCUCAACCGUAAAAUUGCAGUUGAUACUGGCGACCUUGAGUGCAACAGAGGUAGGCGGAAUUCGUGGUGUAGCGGUGAAAUGCUUAGAUAUCACGAAGAACUCCGAUUGCGAAGGCAGCUUACUGGAUUGUAACUGACGCUGAUGCUCGAAAGUGUGGGUAUCAAACAGGAUUAGAUACCCUGGUAGUCCACACAGUAAACGAUGAAUACUCGCUGUUGGCGAUAUAC